rnacentral:rRNA from 1 species
UACGAGGGGGGCAAAUGUUGUUCGGAAUCACUGGGCGUAAAGGGAGCGUAGGCGGGCUUCUAAGUUAGGUGUUUAAUCCCGGGGCCCAACCCCGGUCGUGCACUUAAAACUGGAAGUCUUGAAUAGUGGAGAGAUCAGUGGAAUUGGGGGUGUAGCGGUGGAAUGCGUAGAGAUCCCCAAGAACACCAGUUGCGAAGGCGGCUGACUGGACACAUAUUGACGCUGAGGCUCGAAAGCAUGGGGAGCAAACAGG